rnacentral:misc_RNA from 1 species
AUGCGAUAAGUAGUGUGAAUUGCAGAAUUCAGCGAAUCAUCGAAUCUUUGAACGCACAUUGCGCCCUUCGGUUAUUCCUUAGGGCAUGCCUGUUCGAGCGUCAUUUCAACCUUCAAGCCUGGCUUGGUGUUGGGCGCUGUCCCGCCUCCGCGCGCGGACUCGCCCCAAAUGAAUUGGCAGUCGCACCCUCCGAGCCGCGAGCGCAGCACAAGUCGCGCGGGCGGAACUCUGGGGGGACGGACGCUCCACAAGACCCUUUCUCAGUCUUGACCUCGGAUCAGGUAGGGAUACCCGCUGAACUUAA